rnacentral:rRNA from 1 species
GGCGGACGGGUGAGUAAUGCUUAGGAAUCUGCCUAUUAGUGGGGGACAACAUCUCGAAAGGGAUGCUAAUACCGCAUACGUCCUACGGGAGAAAGCAGGGGAUCUUCGGACCUUGCGCUAAUAGAUGAGCCUAAGUCGGAUUAGCUAGUUGGUGGGGUAAAGGCCUACCAAGGCGACGAUCUGUAGCGGGUCUGAGAGGAUGAUCCGCCACACUGGGACUGAGACACGGCCCAGACUCCUACGGGAGGCAGCAGUGGGGAAUAUUGGACAAUGGGGGGAACCCUGAUCCAGCCAUGCCGCGUGUGUGAAGAAGGCCUUAUGGUUGUAAAGCACUUUAAGCGAGGAGGAGGCUACUCUAGUUAAUACCUAGAGAUAGUGGACGUUACUCGCAGAAUAAGCACCGGCUAACUCUGUGCCAGCAGCCGCGGUAAUACAGAGGGUGCGAGCGUUAAUCGGAUUUACUGGGCGUAAAGCGUGCGUAGGCGGCUUAUUAAGUCGGAUGUGAAAUCCCCGAGCUUAACUUGGGAAUUGCAUUCGAUACUGGUGAGCUAGAGUAUGGGAGAGGAUGGUAGAAUUCCAGGUGUAGCGGUGAAAUGCGUAGAGAUCUGGAGGAAUACCGAUGGCGAAGGCAGCCAUCUGGCCUAAUACUGACGCUGAGGUACGAAAGCAUGGGGAGCAAACAGGAUUAGAUACCCUGGUAGUCCAUGCCGUAAACGAUGUCUACUAGCCGUUGGGGCCUUUGAGGCUUUAGUGGCGCAGCUAACGCGAUAAGUAGACCGC